rnacentral:lncRNA from 1 species
GUGGACGAGGGGGACUGAAGACCCCAGAGAUGAUGCAGAUGCCGACAAAGCAGCGGAGAUGUCCCAGGAGCUGUUUCAAACUCGAGGCGGAGAGAGCAGGGCCUUGGGAUGGAGUCGGGCAUCGGGUGCACAAGCGGCCCAGGCUGACAGAUUCUCCCCAAAGCCCAGCAUGGGUCCUUCCAGGCUGUCCUUUCAUAUAAAGAUGCUGCCUCGCGACGACCGCCUGGCCUCCGGUGGUCCUGUGGCCCUUUCCAGGUACGAGCACCCCCGGCGUCCUGUCCCUGCCUGCCCCUGCGGUGCCGAGCACCAGGGCGGCCCGUGCAGGUGUCCCGGGGUCGCAGGGGGGAGGGAGACCCCAGAACAGCACGCUUCCUCCCGCCAGUCGAGAACAAACAGUCCUCAGAGAACAGCACGUCCAGCACGCGCUGGUGGCCAACCCGGCUCAGGGUGCAUGAGCGCCUGGGCGCCAUCAGCGGCCCCUGGGGUGCCCACAGAACUGCUGAUUCUCCAGGAUUCUCCUUUACAACAGUCUGCAAGCCCCGAGUUUUCUAGAAUGAGCAUCUAUGUCUAUCGUGGAUGCCCAGCAUGGAAAGGGAGGGAAGGCCCGGGACGCGGAGGCCGGGGAGGCCGUGGGGGUCUGCAGGGCAGCCUGUCCCCUGCCCCAGGCAGCCUGGGGCUCCUCCUCAGCUCCGUUCCCAGGCCAGCACUUCGGGAUCCAUGCAAGUCACGGGGCUCCCUGUGUCUCUUUUUUUUUUUUUAA